AUUGAACGCUGGCGGAAUGCUUUACACAUGCAAGUCGAACGGCAGCACGGACUUCGGUCUGGUGGCGAGUGGCGAACGGGUGAGUAAUGUAUCGGAACGUGCCCAGUCGUGGGGGAUAACGUAGUGAAAAUUACGCUAAUACCGCAUACGAUCUAUGGCUGAAAGCGGGGGAUCGCAAGGCCUCGCGCGAUUGGUGCGGCUGAUAUCAGAUUAGGUAGUUGGUGGGGUAAAGGCCCACCAAGCCAACGGUCUGUAGCUGGUCUGAGAGGACGACCAGCCACACUGGAACUGAGACACGGUCCAGACUCCUACGGGAGGCAGCAGUGGGGAAUUUUGGACAAUGGGCGAAAGCCUGAUCCAGCCAUUCCGCGUGCAGGAUGAAGGCCCUCGGGUUGUAAACUGCUUUUGUACAGAACGAAAAGGUUUCUACUAAUACUAGGAGCUCAUGACGGUACUGUAAGAAUAAGCACCGGCUAACUACGUGCCAGCCGCCGCGGUAA
rnacentral:rRNA from 1 species